CCUACGGGUGGCAGCAGUGAGGAAUAUUGGUCAAUGGGCGGAAGCCUGAACCAGCCAAGUCGCGUGAGGGAUGACGGCCCUAUGGGUUGUAAACCGCUUUUGUCAGGGGAUAACACCCUCCACUUGUGGCGGUCUGCAGGUACCGUGCGAAUAAGGGCCGGCUAAAUCCGUGCCAGCAGCCGCGGUAAUACGGGAGGCUCGAGCGUUAUCCGGAUUUAUUGGGUUUAAAGGGAGCGUAGGCGGGAGUUAAAGUCCGCGGUAAAAUCGCGGGGCUCAACCGCGCCCCGCAGUUGAAACCGGAGGUCGUGAGUGGACGAGAGGUAGGCGGAAUGCGUGGUGUAGCGGUGAAAUGCAUAGAUAUCACGCAGAACUCCGAUUGCGAAGGCAGCAUACCGGCGCCCAACUGACGCUGAGGCACGAAAGUGUGGGUAUCGAACAGGAUUAGAUACCCCUGUAGUC
rnacentral:rRNA from 1 species